UUAUCUCCUCUUUGUAUAUUUAUAUGUAUUUACAAUAUAUCUACAUCAGUCAACACUUAGCUACAACAACAACAACCACUACAACAACAACACCUCGACAGACAGGGUGUUGGAUACAGUGGGAUGGGAGUCGAACCCCUGCUUCUUUUUACGGUGGCGACAACACUUUGCCAGGCAGCCACAAGGCCACCUGCUACGGGAGCGCUAAUCAGUACAAUUGUUUACCUGUGGCCGACGAGACCCACGUGAGGACAGCGAGUAUUAAAAUCUUUAGGCGCCUACGGACAGCACUGCUCUGGCUGGCUAUUGUCUAACGCACAUACGCACACAUGUAGGCGUAUGCACUUACAAAAUACUUUCUCUUACGCACACACACACUCACACGCACACUCCAACAUAUGCGACAACAACAAUAAAAACAGUUUAAAUUCUCUUACAAUAUCAACAGUCUACAUGAAACACUUACUUAAGAACAGUCACGCCCCGACGUACGUACACCAAUACACUAGAACACGGCUGCACACGCCCUAGAUACGAACAGAGAUCACCCACGCACAGGACUGGACCAACGGAAUACCAUCACUUGUAGGGGGAUAGACUCUGUCACUUGUCAUCUUCGCUAAACUAACGCUAAAGACAAACAAAGGAAAUACCAACACUUUAUGGGAAUAGUCUUUGCUAAACUAAUGAUUUAAAUAAACGAUUAUUACCCAUACACAGGACUGGGUCAACGAAAUACCAUCACUUGUAGGGGAAUAAUCUUCGCUAAACUAACGCUAAAGACAAACAAAGGAAAUACCAACACCUUAUGGGAAUAGUCUUUGCUAAACUAAUGAUAAAUAAACGAUUCUCACCCAUACAUAGGACUGGGCCAACGAAAUACCAUCACUUGUAUAUAGGAGGAAUAGGCUCGGUCAUUUUAAACUUUGCUAAACUAACGCUAAAGACAAAGAAACAGAAUACCAACACUUAAAGGGAAUAGACUUUGCCAUUAAUUUGAACUUCGCUAAACUAAUUACCCGAAACGAUCUUAACCCAUAAAUAUGACGAUCAACGAAAUAUCAUAGACUCUGUCACGUCUAAACUUCGCUAAACUAACGCUAAGGACAAACAAAAGAAAUACCAACACCUGUAAGAGGAAUAGACUUUGUCACUAACAUAACCUUCGCUAAACUAUAUUGAUAAGGAAUCCAUUAUCACCUUUAAACAAAUAUAGCAUCCCUUUGAAGAGGAUAAACUUCUUUUCAUUCCCAUAAACUUCACCAAACUUCCUGUAAAGAAACGAUUCUCACAUUUAAAUAUGACUAGAAAGUAAAUAUCGUCAAUUACAGGAAGGAUAAUAGAUUUCUUCACUAACACAACCUUACUUAAAACAAGCGACGAACGAACAACCGAGAGAGUACACAACGUAGCAAAGUCACACUUCGUUAACUUGAAAUCAGAGCUGCAGAGGACCCCAGUAAUCACAGUAAUAAUAAUAAGGUCUAUAAAUUAUAAUACCAUAACAAACUCUUCCCGGGACACACGGCUACGGGGUUCAUAAAAGUCUUCGUAAGUCCGACCGACCAACGCUACGUAACUAAAUGCAUCUAGGUCAGCAUCACCUCGUCUAUGUACUCUUUGCUAGACUACCCGCGGCGCCGUACGCAACGCAGCGGCUCAAAGACUACAAAACCAGCAAUUUCAGUGAACCUGCGAAUACCUAAUGACUUUUGGGAGCAGGUGGAACGUUUAAUCCAAGUCUGAACCUGCUAAUAAUGACUUUGAGACCAGGUGUAACGUAUAAUCCAAGUCAUAACCUGCUAAUAAUGACUUUGAGACCAGGUGUAACGUAUAAUCCAAGUCAUAACCUGCUAAUAAUGACUUUGAGACCAGGUGUAACGUCUAAUCCAAGUCAUAACCUGCUAAUAAUGACUUUGAGACCAGGUGUAACGUUUAAUCCAAGUCAUAACCUGCUAAUAAUGACUUUGAGACCAGGUGUAACGUUUAAUCCAAGUCAUAACCUGCUAAUAAUGACUUUGAGACCAGGUGUAACGUUUAAUCCAAGUCAUAACCUGCUAAUAAUGACUUUGAGACCAGGUGUAACGUUUAAUCCAAGUCAUAACCUGCUAAUAAUGACUUUGAGACCAGGUGUAACGUUUAAUCCAAGUCAUAACCUGCUAAUAAUGACUUUGAGACCAGGUGUAACGUAUAAUCCAAGUCAUAACCUGCUAAUAAUGACUUUGAGACCAGGUGUAACGUUUAAUCCAAGUCAUAACCUGCUAAUAAUGACUUUGAGACCAGGUGUAACGUUUAAUCCAAGUCAUAACCUGCGAAUAAUGACUUUGAGACCAGGUGUAACGUAUAGUCCAAAUCAUAACCUGCUAAUAAUGACUUUGAGACCAGGUGUAACGUAUAAUCCAAGUCAUAACCUGCUAAUAAUGACUUUGAGAUCAGGUGUAAC